UUUCUUUCUCUUCCUUUCUUUCUUUCUUUCUUUCUUUCUUUCUUUCUUUCUUUCUUUCUUUCUUUCUUUCUUUCUUUCUUUCUUUCUUUCUUUCUUUCUUUCUUUCUUUCUUUCUUUCUUUCUUUCUUUCUUUCUUUCUUUCUUUCUUUUUCUUUCUUUCAUGUUUAGAGCAUAUGACAGACAUCAAAAGGAGAAUGUAAAAUCUUUGAAUAGAAAUUUCCCCUCAGACUAUAGGGAGAGGGUUAGUGACAGCACAGGAUUGCUAACAGUCU
rnacentral:lncRNA from 1 species